rnacentral:lncRNA from 1 species
CUGGGAAAAUUUGAGUGUUGUGAUCAAUGCACUAGACAAUGUGAAUGCAAGACUAUAUGUUGAUCAGAGAUGCUUGUAUUUCCAAAAGCCUCUUCUUGAGUCUGGAACUCUUGGAGCCAAAUGCAAUACCCAGAUGGUCAUUCCCCACCUGACAGAAAACUAUGGUGCGUCAAGAGAUCCUCCAGAGAAACAGGCUCCGAUGUGUACUGUGCACUCAUUUCCCCACAAUAUUGACCAUUGCUUGACAUGGGCGCGAUCAGAGUUUGAGGGGUUGCUUGAGAAAACUCCAGCUGAAGUGAAUACAUAUUUGUCUAACCCAAGUGAAUUUACUAAUACAGCGAGAAAUGCAAUACCCAGAUGGUCAUUCCCCACCUGACAGAAAACUAUGGUGCGUCAAGAGAUCCUCCAGAGAAACAGGCUCCGAUGUGUACUGUGCACUCAUUUCCCCACAAUAUUGACCAUUGCUUGACAUGGGCGCGAUCAGAGUUUGAGGGGUUGCUUGAGAAAACUCCAGCUGAAGUGAAUACAUAUUUGUCUAACCCAAGUGAAUUUACUAAUACAGCGAGGAAUGCUGGUGAUGCUCAAGCAAGGGAUAACUUGGAGCGUGUUAUUGAGUGCCUGGACAGCGAAAAGUGUGAAACUUUUGAAGACUGUAUCACUUGGGCCCGGUUAAAGUAUGUCCCCUUGAUAACAAAUGCUUGUUUCUUUUGUUUUAAUAAUGUUGUGGGAGUGUG